AGAGAUAUUAAAUUUAUAAAAAUGUGGAAAUCCAGAACAUGCACUUUUUUCAAUUAGUAAUAAAAUAAAUAAAAUAUAAAUAAAUAAAUAAAACAACCAUAAAAUACAAAAAAUAAAUAAAUGUUUGCUCAAAAUAAAUAUUUUAACCAUUUUUUAAACCACUCUAUUCCAUAAUAUUUCAGAGGUCGAGGUCGAAAAAUCUCGGCGCCGGGGCAAAUUUGGUGAUUUUUUGACGGCGUCCCCAAAUGUUCAAAGAAUACGUAAUCAAAUUUAUCGUAGGCGUAAAAUGCUACCGGCGUCGCCGACCUCUGGCUAAAUCAAGUUUUUUUUCCCACCCUGUAUGGACAUGGAUUUUUGCACACACUACAUUUGGUUCCUUCCUCUGACUGAGAGGAAUUCUCUCUACUCGUAGUUACUCAUUUUGUAAAAUUAUUUUGGGAAACUUAUAUUUAUUCAUUUUUAUCUACAUACAUUGCAAAUAUGCAUUUGUAUUUAUCUAACAUAUACUUUCCUACAUUACAACUAACGAUACAACUUUAUUAGUAAUCGUCAAUAAAAGAAAGUUCAGCCAUUCAAAAUGGUGUUAUCAAUGGAGGAACUUACCACCUGGAUGACCUACAUGACACGAGCUACAAUUAUUGCGUUCGCAUUAGUCGCAUUCGUCGGGAUAUAUUCAUUCUUAGAAGUCGCUUCCGAUAAAUCUCUUAUGUUCGGUCACUUUAUCGUGAUUGCGAUCUUCUACAAGUUUAAAGUUGUAGCAGAUGAAAACAAUCAGAGGGAGUUGGACCUCGAAUCGUUCCAAAACAUGACAUUUUAUGCAUAUUUAAUUGUAAUGCUUUCCUAUUUCACGGGGAGGAUAUCUCAAAUAGAAAUUUGCUAUUUACGAUCAAAGUGAGAUCCAAUUGGCGAUCUUACCUUUCGUGGACAACGUAACAGGGACGGAGAUUAAAUCGCCACAAGAUUGGAAGUCGCAAACAGCCCUGCUCAAUUGGGAACCCGAAAGGGGUUUAAUUGGGCACGCAUCACUGCUCCUGGUUAAUCGUGCCUAUAUUAGUGGAUGGCCUACUAGUAAUGAAGAUCAAACCACUAUCAAGGCAAUUCUCAAACCCAUGCGGCGUAAUAUUGAACGCACUUUGGGGGACGAUAUUCGCGAAGAAGGACGCUACCCCAACAGCGUAAUAUUAUUUCCGGAAGAUAUAAAGCUAAAUUAUGAAGAAAUGAUGAAAGAAUGGGAGCACAUUAAAAACACUCCGUACAUGCUGAGUAGGGGCAAUUGUGCCCAAACUGUACAUAGGAUUUUAGAGGCGGGAGGAUUACGGAUCCGUCAGGUCAUGGGGGACGCAUAUAGAUUUCAGUGGCUCUUCCUCGGGCCCGGGAUUCUCAAAUAUUUAGUUAGUGAUACAAUAAUUGUUAAAAGUAAGAUUGCCGCUGGGUGGGUGGCAAAACUGAUUGUAAUUACGACUAUAGUGGUGCAAGACUUUAUAUCGUUAAACUUGCUUACAGCUGUUAUUCAAACGGCGUAUUGGUGCUAUCGCUGGAAAACAUAUGGGUCUGAUGGGUUUGACAUGACUAUAUUCAGAGCAGCAUCAAGACCUUUGGUGUACCAUCAUGUCGUUAAAAUAGUUGGGUUUUAUUUCCUUGGGGAAACUUCUCGGAUUGAAUUCUUCAUAUUUUCAGUGGUAAUAUCUAUCGUUAGCUAUUUUAUUUUAGGCUAAUGUCAGAUAGUUUGGAGUUUAUAAGAAGAGCGGAUUAAUUAAAUGAGUCCUGAGUAUGUUCAGGACAUGCGAUUUUUUCCAGUUUUAGUACAAAUCUGCAAACAAUUUUAGGAUUUAGCGUUAGUUUAGAAAAUGUAUAACCAACAAUAUUUCAUGAAACUUGAUACCUUUUGCAUAUGUGUAUCAUCAAACAAUUGCCCACUUAUUAGAGUCAAUCCUUAAAAAUACGACACCCCCUUUAGCCGACAAUUUGAUUUUGUUUCUGAAAUUUUUCGUCGACAUUUCUGAGGUCGUUUUUCUCCCAAUCAGUUUUGUAUCUGGCCCAUCUUUUACAAAGUUUAUUCUUAUAUUUAUAAGGUAUGUAUGUAUCUGGCUAAUUAAUUUAAAUCUACUUUGAUAGCAAUUUACAAACGGACGGUAUAAUAAGCGUGGGUUCGAUUGGGGUGUUCUCCUAGAAAUAAACUUGCAUAUACUAUUUUAUCCAGCAGAAAAUAAAAAUUGCAUACAAAUUGCAUUAAAUUUUUCA